CCUUUUGGAGACAACUCUGCAGCCUUAUGGAGACAUUUCCGCAGCUGUUGUUAUGGUCACGUAUUCAGGCUCUGACGAAUGCAUGGAAUCAUAUGGGAAAGGCUAACUACUGAUGCUGGUUUUGGGAGAUAGUUUAGCUGGUUGCUGCAGGAGAACUUGAAGUCUUGAACUGAUUAACUGGUCCACUGAAGAAUUUGAAUCUAAAUUACAGGAAGCCAUGACGUAGACAUACCAGAGAGUUCUGAAAGCAGCAAGUGAUUUUGGCCAUCAGAAGAGAGUCCCGAG